AGCUCAGCACUGGGCUUAAAGCGUGCGCAGGCGGUUUUGUAAGACAGAGGUGAAAUCCCCGGGCUCAACCUGGGAACUGCCCUUGUGACUGCAAGGCUGGAGUGCGGCAGAGGGGGAUGGAAUUCCGCGUAUAGCAGUGAAAUGCGUAGAUAUGCGGAGGAACACCGAUGGCGAAGGCAAUCCCCUGGGCCUGCACUGACGCUCAUGCACGAAAGCGUGGGGAGCAAACA
rnacentral:rRNA from 1 species